CACGUAGGGUGCGAGCGUUGUCCGGAAUCAUUGGGCGUAAAGAGCGCGCAGGCGGCUUGGCAAGUCGGGUGUGAAAUCCCGGGGCUCAACCCCGUGACUGCAUUCGAUACUGUCAGGCUAGAGGUAGGUAGGGGAGAUCGGAAUUCCUGGUGUAGCGGUGAAAUGCGCAGAUAUCAGGAGGAACACCGGUGGCGAAGGCGGGUCUCUGGGCCGAUACUGACGCUGAGGAGCGAAAGCGUGGGGAGCGAACAGG
rnacentral:rRNA from 1 species